rnacentral:rRNA from 1 species
UACGGGGGGAGCAAGCGUUGUUCGGAUUUACUGGGCGUAAAGGGCGCGUAGGCGGCCAGCGCAAGUCAGUUGUGAAAUCUCCGGGCUUAACUCGGAACGGUCAACUGAUACUGCGCGGCUAGAGUGCAGAAGGGGCAACUGGAAUUCUCGGUGUAGCGGUGAAAUGCGUAGAUAUCGAGAGGAACACCUGCGGCGAAGGCGGGUUGCUGGGCUGACACUGACGCUGAUGCGCGAAAGCUAGGGGAGCGAACGGG